CCGAGUUCAUGCCCGUCAGGGUAGACCUCCCACCCGUGUGUAUGCCUACUUUGUUGCUUUGGCGGGCCGCCGCGAGGCACCGGCUCCGGUCGGACCGCGCCCGCCAGAGGACCCCUAAACUCUGAAUGUUAGUGUCGUCUGAGUACUAUCUAAUAGUUA
rnacentral:misc_RNA from 1 species